rnacentral:rRNA from 1 species
AGCAGUCGCCGCGGGAAUACGUAGGGUGCGAGCGUUAAUCGGAAUUACUGGGCGUAAAGCGUGCGCAGGCGGUUUUGUAAGGCAGGCGUGAAAUCCCCGGGCUCAACCUGGGAAUGGCGCUUGUGACUGCAGAGCUAGAGUGCGGCAGAGGGGGAUGGAAUUCCGCGUGUAGCAGUGAAAUGCGUAGAUAUGCGGAGGAACACCGAUGGCGAAGGCAAUCCCCUGGGCCUGCACUGACACUCAUGCACGAAAGCGUGGGGAGCAAACAGGAUUAGAUACCCCAGUAGUCCCGUCUCUUAUACC